GCAACUUACCUAUCAGAGGGGGAUAACCCGGCGAAAGUCGGACUAAUACCGCAUGAAGCAGGGGCCCCGCAUGGGGAUAUUUGCUAAAGAUUCAUCGCUGAUAGAUAGGCAUGCGUUCCAUUAGGCAGUUGGCGGGGUAACGGCCCACCAAACCGACGAUGGAUAGGGGUUCUGAGAGGAAGGUCCCCCACAUUGGUACUGAGACACGGACCAAACUCCUACGGGAGGCAGCAGUGAGGAAUAUUGGUCAAUGGGCGUAAGCCUGAACCAGCCAAGUCGCGUGAGGGAUGAAGGUUCUAUGGAUCGUAAACCUCUUUUAUAAGGGAAUAAAGUGCGGGACGUGUCCCGUUUUGUAUGUACCUUAUGAAUAAGGAUCGGCUAACUCCGUGCCAGCAGCCGCGGUAAUACGGAGGAUCCGAGCGUUAUCCGGAUUUAUUGGGUUUAAAGGGUGCGUAGGCGGCCUUUUAAGUCAGCGGUGAAAGUCUGUGGCUCAACCAUAGAAUUGCCGUUGAAACUGGGGGGCUUGAGUAUGUUUGAGGCAGGCGGAAUGCGUGGUGUAGCGGUGAAAUGCUUAGAUAUCACGCAGAACCCCGAUUGCGAAGGCAGCCUGCCAAGCCAUGACUGACGCUGAUGCACGAAAGCGUGGGGAUCAAACAGGAUUAGAUACCCUGGUAGUCCACGCAGUAAACGAUGAUCACUAGCUGUUUGCGAUACACUGUAAGCGGCACAGCGAAAGCGUUAAGUGAUCCACCUGGGGAGUACGCCGGCAACGGUGAAACUCAAAGGAAUUGACGGGGGCCCGCACAAGCGGAGGAACAUGUGGUUUAAUUCGAUGAUACGCGAGGAACCUUACCCGGGUUUGAACGCAUUCGGACCGAGGUGGAAACACCUUUUCUAGCAAUAGCCGUUUGCGAGGUGCUGCAUGGUUGUCGUCAGCUCGUGCCGUGAGGUGUCGGCUUAAGUGCCAUAACGAGCGCAACCCUUGCCACUAGUUACUAACAGGUAAAGCUGAGGACUCUGGUGGGACUGCCAGCGUAAGCUGCGAGGAAGGCGGGGAUGACGUCAAAUCAGCACGGCCCUUACAUCCGGGGCGACACACGUGUUACAAUGGCGUGGACAAAGGGAUGCCACCUGGCGACAGGGAGCGAAUCCCCAAACCACGUCUCAGUUCGGAUCGGAGUCUGCAACCCGACUCCGUGAAGCUGGAUUCGCUAGUAAUCGCGCAUCAGCCAUGGCGCGGUGAAUACGUUCCCGGGCCUUGUACACACCGCCCGUCAAGCCAUGGGAGCCGGGGGUACCUGAAGUCCGUAACCGCGAGGAUCGGCCUAGGGUAAAACUGGUGACUGGGGCUAAGUCGUAACAGGUAGCGCGAGGUGCGCUGAACA
rnacentral:rRNA from 1 species